GACCCCUUCGGGUUAUAGGGUCAAGCAAUGAAGCGCACACGGUGGAUGCCUAGGCAGCCAGAGGCGAUGAAAGACGUGGUAGCCUGCGAUAAGGUUCGGUGAGGUGGCAAACGACCUGUGACCCGGACAUCUCUGAAUGGGGAAACCCACUCAUCACAAGAUGAGUAUCUUGCGCUGAAUCCAUAGGCGUAAGAGGCGAACCAGGGGAACUGAAACAUCUAAGUACCCUGAGGAAAAGAAAUCAACCGAGAUUCCCCUAGUAGCGGCGAGCGAACGGGGACCAGCCCUUAAGCGUGUGAAAGAUUAGGCGAACAGACUGGGAAGUCUGGCCAUAGCGGGUGAUAGCCCCGUAGUCGAAAAUCUGAUCACGUGAAAUCGAGUAGGUCGGGGCACGAGAAACCUUGACUGAAGACGGGGGGACCAUCCUCCAAGGCUAAAUACUCCUGGCUGACCGAUAGUGAACCAGUACCGUGAGGGAAAGGCGAAAAGAACCCCGGAGAGGGGAGUGAAAUAGAUCCUGAAACCGUGUGCGUACAAGCAGUAGGAGCCCACUUGUUGGGUGACUGCGUACCUUUUGUAUAAUGGGUCAGCGACUUAUAUUCAGUGGCGAGGUUAACCGUAUAGGGGAGCCGUAGGGAAACCGAGUCUUAACUGGGCGACACAGUCGCUGGAUAUAGACCCGAAACCGAGCGAUCUAUCCAUGAGCAGGGUGAAGGUUGAGUAACAUCAACUGGAGGCCCGAACCAGGAUCUGUUGAAAAAGAUUUGGAUGACUUGUGGAUCGGAGUGAAAGGCUAAUCAAGCUCG
rnacentral:rRNA from 1 species